ACUCAAAGGAAUAGACGGGGGCUCACACAAGCGGUGGAGCAUGUUGCUUAAUUCGAAGCAACGCGAAGAACCUUACCCGGGUUUGACAUACACGGAUUAGUUGGCGGAAACGUCAAUGAGGCCCGCAAGGGUACAACGUGAACAGGUGCUGCAUGGCUGUCGUCAGCUCGUGCUGUGAAGUGUUUGGUUAAGUCCAUUAACGAGCGCAACCCUUGUCGUUAGUUGCUAACAGGUAAUGCUGAGGACUCUAACGAGACUGCCGGCGUCAAGCCGGAGGAAGGUGGGGAUGACGUCAAGUCCUCAUGGCCCUUACAUCCGGGGUUGCAAACGUGCUACAAUGGUGCGUACAGAGCGACGCAAGGCCGCAAGGCGGAGCAAAUCGCAAAAAACGCACCCCAGUUCGGAUUGAAGGCUGCAACCCGCCUUCAUGAAGUCGGAAUCGCUAGUAAUCGGAGAUCAGCUACGCUCCGGUGAAUACGUUCCUGAGCCUUGUACACACCGCCCGU
rnacentral:rRNA from 1 species